UACGUAGGGUGCAAGCGUUAAUCGGAAUUACUGGGCGUAAAGCGUGCGCAGGCGGUUGUGUAAGACAGAUGUGAAAUCCCCGGGCUCAACCUGGGAACUGCAUUUGUGACUGCACGGCUCGAGUGCGGCAGAGGGGGAUGGAGUUCCGCGUGUAGCAGUGAAAUGCGUAGAUAUGCGGAGGAACACCGAUGGCGAAGGCAAUCCCCUGGGCCUGCACUGACGCUCAUGCACGAAAGCGUGGGGAGCAAACAGG
rnacentral:rRNA from 1 species